AUGUUCUUCAUAACUGUUGGCUCUACUCUUUCUGAGGUCCCUUAUCCUGUGUAUAAAUCUGAAGAGAACAACUGAGAAUUUCAGCUUACUUCCCACUUAAUGAAGGUUGGAGUCCAGGGAUUAUUUUAAGUCUCAAACAGUCAGAAGCUUCUUGAAUCCAUAUUCAUUCUUUACUUGGUGGUAUAAAUCUCUCUAAAAUGUAGUCAGAUUUUCAUGUAUUUGAUUUCAGUGUAUUCCACGCUCCAAUGGCCACAUCUGCAGUUGUAGUCAAGACAUGGCUUUCUCUGUAUGUCUAGUCAUAGGCAUAUGGAGCCUGUUAGACUUCAUUGGGAUAAGCUUAUUCUCUUUUCACUUUCCCCUUAGUCUCCUUUCCUGGAGCCAGUUAUUUCAACUGAAAGGGUAUAUUUGGAGCUAUUUUAAUACACUCAGAAAGUUUAAUAACAGCUACUUGCUACUUCCUUAAAUCAGUUAUUUUGAUUAGAGAUUAUAUUUCAAGCGGACUUUGUGGGGUGCCUGGGUGGCUCAGUCAGUUAAGUGUUCAACUUUGGUUCAG